GCUAUCAUCGGCUCAGUGGCAGAGGCGUGUCUAGUAAACAGGAGUUCGUGGCUUCGAUCCCCACUGGAGCC
rnacentral:tRNA from 1 species